GAUCAAAAUAAUUUUGUUACAUGCAAAAGAACGAAAAUAUGAUUAAAAUUAUCAAACUUGUUUAUACUAUGAUUCUAUUUCUUACUCCAUCUCUUGCAAUGAAACAUCCUCUAGAAUUACCUUAUCCAUGUAACAAUGACAUUAAUUGUAAAUGGAUUGGCUGUCCUCAUGGAAAAUUCGGAGAAUGCCAUUUUGGAGCGUGUUUCUGCGUUGACAGGAAUUAAAAUUAACUGAUGGAGCUUCACAUGCAUGUGCGAGAGGAGUUUUGUUUUAUGUCUCGCUUAAUGAUUUUUCUAUUGUAUAUUAGCAUAUUUAGUUUUUUUGUCUUAUGUAUGAGAUAUUUGUAAGAUUUUAGUAGUCUAAAAUUCUAGUAGUUGAGAUAUUAUGGUAAUAUGAAAAGUUAGAGUGUAUUAAGGUUUAAAAUUUUAUGCAGAUUGCAUAAUAAGAAAUAAUUAGGUGGUGAAUUGUGAAGUGGUUUUUUCUUGGCAAUUUUUAUAAGAUAAGAUCU